GACGAACGCUGGCGGCGUGCUUAACACAUGCAAGUCGAACGGUGAAAGCGGAGCUUGCUCCGCUGGAUCAGUGGCGAACGGGUGAGUAACACGUGGGCAACCUGCCCCUCACUUCGGGAUAACUCCGGGAAACCGGGGCUAAUACCGGAUAUGACCUCCUUGGGCAUCCUUGGAGGUGGAAAGUUUUUCGGUGAGGGAUGGGCCCGCGGCCUAUCAGCUUGUUGGGGAGGUAGUGGCUCACCAAGGCGACGACGGGUAGCCGGCCUGAGAGGGCGACCGGCCACACUGGGACUGAGACACGGCCCAGACUCCUACGGGGGGCAGCAGUGGGGAAUAUUGCGCAAUGGGCGAAAGCCUGACGCAGCAACGCCGCGUGCGGGAUGACAGCCUUCGGGUUGUAAACCGCUUUCAGCAGGGAAGAAGCCGCAAGGUGACGGUACCUGCAGAAGAAGCACCGGCUAACUACGUACCAGCCGCCGCGGUAA
rnacentral:rRNA from 1 species